rnacentral:rRNA from 1 species
GAUGAAUGCUAGCGGCACGCCUAACACAUGCAAGUCGAGCGGGGUUAUAUAGAUUGAGUCUUCGGAUAAUUUUUGUAUAUGAGAGCGGCGGACGGGUGAGUAAAGCCUUAGAAUCUGCCCUUAAGUGAGGGAUAGCCACGGGAAACUGUGAUUAAUACCGCAUAUGCUGGAGACAGUAAAGCCUUCGGGCGCUUAGGGAGGAGCUUUGGUCCUAUCAGUUAGUUGGUGAGGUAAAGGCUCACCAAGACAAUGACGGGUAGCUGGUCUGAGAGGAUGAUCAGCCACAAUGGAACUGAGACACGGUCCAU